rnacentral:lncRNA from 1 species
CGCGCCUUGGCCGCGCUGGCCUCGGCCGCAGCUCCUCGGGAGAACCGGGGCGCCCACGCGAGAAUCUCCCCACCUGGGUGUCUUCAGGGAUGACAUCAUCCGUUCACCUCCUUGUCUUCAAGGACCACCUCUCGAUGCCACGCUGCUGCCAAGAGGACAGUAGGAGCUCUGACCCCUGGAUGGCACCGGCAUACCAAGCAGCCACUGGCAGAGACCCCCCCCCCCCCAGGGAUGAGGAUGACGAAGGAUGAAGAGGACCAGAACCGACCAGCCAGCUCUCCCUCUUGGCUGAAUGCUUAAACCGAUGCCCUAGUGAGGGGGCAUUGGUCAUUAACCCUUGACCUUUGCUAUGCUUAUGCCUUGAUGCUAUGAAUACUUUCCUAUAAGUCUCUGCUUGUGUUUAUGUGCCAGCAACCUGGAGUGUUUCCCUCCCCAACCAGUUGUCAGUCGUUCUCCCAUGACAACCCUGUGGUUGCCUGUAUGAUGGCCUGAACGGAAGGAUCCCUUUGGGAACUUCUCAGGAGGGGGACCUGGGCCAAGGGCUUGACCAGCAUCUCACUGGCAAUUCCAAGGCUCAGGGUGGGCUUCUGGAAUGAGCAUGAGCCCCGAUGCCAUGCUACCGAACUGCCAAGGGCAUCCCUACCUCUUCUGAGAUCUCCCUGUCCUUUCUUCUCCAAUUUCCUCUUCAACCCACUGCUUCCUGACUUGUUCUGCUCCGUUGAACGACUCUAACUCAGGUCAGCCCUGUCCUCGGCACACUGGCCGUGACCUGGCUGGGUCGGCUGAAGAACCGGAUGGAAGAGGCAGAAAGAAGCCCCCAGAGGAGCGCCGCCCUGCACCACCCAGCCUUCCUUGCUGAUGGUCACCUGGCAUCUCAUGCCCAGCCCUGUGCCUCUUCACUUCUUCCUGCUUUGGGUUGGAAGACGCCAUCUGGAAUCCUCCGUGGAAGGAGAGACCUGGACGCACGACUUAGCACCCUCCAGCUUUCAAAUCGGUCCUGUGAUGUGUGAGCAGAUGUCCCGAGGCCUCAGAUGGAUGGGACGUUUUGGAUCAGGACUGGCGGAGAAUCCUCCCUCGGUUUUUCUUCAAUGGGGCAAUUAGAUUCCGUGAUCCGAGCAGCAGACUGGUCCCCACGCUCUUCUGGGGCUCCCCUUGUGCCCACCACAAACUAACCGCGGCUCAAAGGCCAUCAAGACCACUUGGGGAGGGUGGGUCCCUCCCUGGAAGGUAGGAGCCCGCCCUACCUUCCAGAACACGCUCUGCCCUCAGCAGGGCCUGCUUCUUCCCGCCGAGCCCUCUACUAUAGCACCGAGCGCUGUUUGCCUGCGUCAGAAUCAGUCACGCACACGUCUGUCCCCGCAGCGAGGCUUGGGAGGCCAGCAGUGACUUCCAGCAUCAGUUCAAUCCAUCCAUCCAUUCAUCCGUGCGUUUGGCCUCCAUUCUUGACCUGGUGCUUCGGCCUCUCCCUUCCCCGAAAGCGAACCUUUCCAUUUUGGGCGGGCUGUGUAGCGCCAUGGGCUGUGGUCAUGAAGCGAACGCCCGUAUUAGAGCUUUCUCCUCCGGGGUCACUGCUCUGAGCACGUCCCAGCUGGACUCAUCUGCCACUGUCACCCACACGGCUUCUGUCCCCAUGGCGCUUUCCCAGGCAUCCCCCACCGCGACGGAUCCAGGGCCGGGUCCGAGAGGGCCCUCCAGCCGUGAGCGGAGGUGUCCUCCCCAGGCCGCCCUGCCUGGUGCAUGGUCCCUGCCAUGAGCUUUGCCUUCAGCCUCUCUGCUUCCUCCACCAGAUGGCAGUGGUUGUAAUUCACCCCCUCAUUCCUUCAUCCCUUCAUUCCUUCACCACCGACCAACAUUUUUCUCAAAUCAGCUGGUGCUAUACUAGAGCUGGCUCCCAAGGACUCUUCCCGAUAUCUCCUUCUGGGGGAAAAGACGAGCAUGUCUCCAAGAGGCCGUGUUUGUGUGCCAGCAAAAGGCGCGACCCUUGGUCCGGCUCCCAACUUCCGGAGCCGAGUUCUGGUGGAAGUUUGAUUGCCUUCCCCGACUCUGUUCCUUACAAAACUAGGUUGAUUGGUAAUCAGCAAACUGUGUCCCUGAGUGUUCAGAAAUCAUAAUCUGUGUCCUCAAGAGGCCAGAGUGACGGCUGGGGGCUCUGGGAUGAACGGCCGCUUCUGGCCGUGAGCAGGCUUUUAAGUCAUUAGGACACCCUGGUCUUGCCACGGUGGUGAUCUAAAGAGCGGUUCCUGUCCCUUCGGAAAUUAGUUAAUGCUGGGCUCGAUUUAGAGAAAAUUGGGGGAGAUGAUUGCUCACGGAGGUGACAGGGAACAUGCCCUGUGCGGGGGUCUGUGCAGAAUUAUCCAUUGGCAGACCUGGGCAUCCAAGGCACGUGGCACUUUGCAAACCCCGGACGUGGCCCCAAGCAUUCACGUGGGUCGCGGGCCAGGCGGGACCCCCUAUAGCUCCCUGCUGCCCCUGUGGGACAAGGCAGGGGUCCUGGGGCCUCUGCUAGGAAUUCUGCAGUUUAUUCAUUGCACCGGAGGCGGGGGUAGUGGGCAAAGCCAGGACCCUGGAGCUGGACAAACGUGUGUGGUUUAAACUGACCUUGACAGCUUUGAGUCUGUCUUCUGGGGGGACAAUGGCACCCACCUCGCAGGGCUGUUGUGAGGACUUUUGUAACCAGGGCUUUGAACUGGGAUUCUGAAGGCGGUGCGCGUGCCCCCGGGGGGCUGUGGGCUGGGGGCUGGAAGGCGGGAGGGGCAGCCCGACUCAGCAGGUUAGAGGAAAUCACUUUGCCGAACAUGCAGGAGGCAUUGUGGAAUAGAGUGCUCAAUUUGUAGGACACGGUAAGCUCAGACAGGAGUAACCUCCGCAGGGACCUUCAUGCUGGGGGGAUGGGAGCCUCUUUGGGCAACACCUUUGGUCCCCCCCUGGGGUACGCGUUCACCCUCACCUCUGUAAAAGGUUGGAAGCACCCGCUGUGUCUCGCCUACCGCUGUGUCUGGCCUGUGGGCGGCACUUCCACAUGUCCCCCUGCAAGAGACCUCUCCUGGCCGUGUCCUCCCUCCCGAAACAUUAGGCAUCAGCCAUCAAAGACACUGCGAUGUCCCCUCUCUCAAUUAACAACAGUUGGGCUCAGAUGCCAGCAGCCCGGAUGCCUAACACAGUACCAAGCCAGUGGUAGGGGUCGCCUUCCAGUUUUGUUGAACGGAUGCAUGGGUGAAUGGCCAAACACCGAAUUGUAACCAAAUGCAAGUGGCAGAUGUUAAAACCCUCACCAAGAGUUUGUAUUUCCUCCUGAUUAACCUGUUAACAAUCGUUGUAUUGUAUCUUACGGACUCCUGUAUGACGUGUGUUGUUUGAAAACCGGGAUUCUCGUUUUGGGUGUCUUGCGACGAAACCUUAGCUGUCUGUGUUUUGUGUUAGAAAUCAGAGCCCGGCAGACCCGGGGGCCACUUAACCGACCGGGCCGCGGUAGGCGAGCCCCCUUUCCUCUCUGACCCUCGGUCUCCUUUUCUCUGAUGGGUUCCCAGAAAGCUUCCUCUGCUGGGUGGUUGUGAGGCCGAGGGCUGGGUCCGCUAAAACGCAGCUGAUCAGAUGCUGGCUCUCAGUGAGAAUGGUUGUAUAUUGGGGGUUGUCUGGAAAGUUCCAAGCCCUUGCUGGUUCUCAGUGAGUAGAGAGCAUUGAGUUUAUGCUAAGAUUGUAUUUCAACAGUCAAUGGAACGUAUAAGACAGAGGCUGAGUGGUCUGCAAGUAUUUAGCGAGUUGGCCCAGGGUAGAUACUGGUUUGAUUAAUGAGUGACGGCUUCUUUCCUUCCUUGGAGCCCCCCCACAGCCCCACUUUCCAUCCUGGCUGCUGCUCCUCACGUGGAGGUUGCAGCUGGCCUGGGUGGGUGACUGCUUUGAGUUUGCUGUACCUGUCGAUGCCGUGUCUGGUUUUGUGGGGGCUUCUGCAGACAUCCGUGUGUGCCCUGGGUCGAGUCUGCUAGGCAGGGAGAGCUGGGAUGGGUGAGGAGGGUGACAUCUUUGAGGACAAAAGCUCCUUCUUCUACCCUUUAGGCAAAAGGCCUGUGAUCCUAAUUUCCUCACAUCCCUCUUCCUUCUUUCUUGGGCUGUAAGGUGAAGAAAUCGGUCUGUGGUCCCGUCUGCGGGCCUGGAACCGAGCUGGGGUGGGGCUGUCAGCCACCACACCCUGCGAGCUUCCGUGGGCCCAGUUUCCAGAUGAGGAAGUUGAGGUUCAGAGACGCCUGGAGAUCGGAGCCAGGAGGACACAGUCAGUCUUUCGUGAGGAGCUGGUGCUCCUUGACCCUGGCAGCCCAGCUCUCCAGUUACUUUGGCCGUGCCUGGCUGUGGUCCUGCAGGGGGCACAGGCCUCCAGAGCUCACUUGGGUGCAUGUGGGACAUGGAGGCUUGGCUGGAUUAGAUAAGAUAUUACGGGGUUAUUUGGGGUUGGGGGGUCUCAUCAGGAGACCUCUGAGUUUUUUUCCUGGCUCUUGUUCUGUUCUGUCAUCCCCAAACGCCAUCCCGGGUGGGCUCGUGUUCUGCACCCCGAGCCUCCCUCUUGCCCUGUCCUCCCUCUGCAGAAGCCUCACUGGCCUCCCCUUCUUUCUGCCUCCCGCUUUCACAGGCUCGGUGGCCCUCGCUGCUGUCAACCUGGCCACUUCUUGCAGCAGCCUGAGUUUUUAUUGUGAUGUCUGGCCUCCACCUCUGUGUACCUGCUGGUAGGAGUGCCAGCACACACACUCCGAUAUUCCCCUCCCUGGGGCUUUGCUGAGGGGGCCCUUGCUGUGUCACUGUUGCUGUCUGCCCCAUGGACAUCCCACAUCCUUGAGAACGUGCCUGAGCAGAGUGAGGGCCUUGCCUCAGUGCUCCCGAGGGGGCCCCAUGGAAAGGACAGGUGGAUAGGACCCCUCUCCCAGAGGACUCUUGAGUCUUGUGUUCAGGUGUCUGCUCCCCGAUGGGCUUCAGGCUCCUUGAAGCUUAGGCCUGUGUGUGACCCAGGAUGAGGGACUCCCCUAGGGGCCCAGUGUUUACACAUCACCAUCCCCUUGAAAUGGGCAGGGCUGGGUCCCCGUUUCCUGAGGGCAGGUGAGGAAGUUGAGGCUCAGUGGGGUCACAGCCAAGCUGUACUUGAUCCUUUACUCUGACAUCUAUGCUUCUCUGGCCCUUGACAGCACUGUUAACUGCACUAGUGGGCGCCUAAUACAUGCUCACUGACUGACAAGGCAGGGUUCCCAAUGCACGUGAAGAACUGAAUGGAUUGUUGGCUGACCCGCAAGUUGAAUCCAUGUGUGUUUAAGAGGCAAGUGUGCUUUCUUGGCACAGACUCUAGGGGGCGAAUCCUGAGGGUCUCACCCCCGAGCAGAUGCAGCCCAGAGGGCAACCACCGGAGGGUCUCUCCUGAAGGAAAUGUCUGUCUUCUGCCCAUGUUUGGAAGUAUUUAUGUCUAGAAUAAAACUUCAUUUAGGCUAAAGUGUCCUCGUUUGUGUUGUGGCCCAAGUCAUUUCGGUAACGUGGCCUUUGGUAAUUCCCGGGCUGGAGGGAUGCUCUGGUCAUGCCCACACCCUCUCUGUGGUUGGCUGCGGGCCCUGGGGGUGUGGAUGUCUCCACCUGAAAUGUCUUUGUCUGCACCAUUGGUGACAAUUCACCUGUAAGGCACAUGCCAAGUCUGAGAUGCAGCCGUGGGCACCCAAAAAACGAGGGCUGGGGACUGGACUCCACACCUUGGUUCCUUCCAUCUGCCCUCACCCCCAAAGCGCAGUACAUGGGUACAAGUUGAAGGAUGGGACUCUGGAGGUCUUGCUCUUUUGAAUUCUGGUCCUGGUGUCACCUUUGGCCGGCGCAGGGGCCUUGGGCAGGUUACAGGCACCUCGAGUCUUGAUUUUCCCACCUGUAGAACGGGUGCCGAGGGACAGUAUCCGUUCAAAGGAUGCCGGUAAGCACCGAGUGCAGGCUGCGUGCCUUGCUGCACCCCAUAUGCUGGCUCUGAGAGUCAUGGUCUGGGGUCGAGGCCACUCUGGUGCCUGCGUGUGUGUGGCCUGGCCAAGUUUGCUCACCUGUAACCUGGAAAUAGUCAUGUUUACUUGGCAUGGUUAUUGUGGGAUUCAAUGAGAUUGUUUAUGUGAAAAUAAAUGCUUUGUUACCUGGUGCACAGGUGGCCUCACCCCUUGUCCUCCGAUGGGCCCUGGGUUUGGCCACAGAGCCCUGCAGCCCGUGGGCCUGGUGGCAAAAGCCCCGUGCUUCCUGAACUACGGUGGCCCACCUGGCUGUGGCGCGGAGUGGAGGGCGUCAGGGAAGCACGCGGCCAGCUCUGGGGAGGAGUGAGGGAGGGAAGGUUUGCUUUUACAUACAGAGAUUUCACAAGUUCAGAGGGGGUAGGGCUGAGGCCAGAGGUGGGGGUGGUGGUCAGGGAGACUUUUAGAACCUCCCACCCCCACCCCCCCACCCACCGAGGAAGAGGAGGGAGAACUUUAGAGAACAUCCAAGUUUAAUUGGCAGGGGUGUGGACGGGAUAGCUGGGGUGGCGUUUAGAAAGGCUGAGAGUUCCGGAUUCCGGGUCAGUGAGGUGAGAACUCUCAGAGGUCAUGGGUGCAGGAGGGUGUCAGGACUAAGGGCACGCUUCUGGAAAUCUCUGCAGGUGGGGGAGACUGCAGGGGGGUUGGUGGUGAUGUGUGGGAGCCCCGCGGUUGAGGGGCACUAGGUAGAGGGGCAGGAGCUGGUGCCUGGGUGCUCCCCUGGCCCCCCAUGGCUGCUGGGAGCCAGGGCCUUUGCCCCGAGUGGUCCGGUGGUGUUCAGUCCCGGGUGCCUCUCUCCUCUCCUCGCCCCCCCGGCCUGCCUGUCUGCAUGAGAACUCUUGUCAGCCAGUGAGACCGGGAGCAGGCCCCUUCAUCUGCACCUGUGUCUCUCUCAGCCUCCGCAGCCACAGGGACACCCUGCACACGUUCCCGCGGGACAGGCCGGACCCAAAGACUCUGGACCAGGGCCGCCCCC